rnacentral:snoRNA from 1 species
GCCGCUGGCCUUACAGCCAUUGCAGGUGUGGCUGCUGGGUCACACGUGUGUCAGCAGGUAGCGGAGGGGAGAGAGGCUAUGUCUCAGUGUUCUGACCUGUGAAUAUCUGAGGAAAGCUGACAGU